rnacentral:rRNA from 1 species
GAUGAACGCUGGCGGCGUGCCUAAUACAUGCAAGUCGAGCGGACGGACGAUGAUCUUGCUUCUCUGUUGUUUGCGGCGGACGUGAGAGUCACACGUGUAUAACCUCCCUAUAAGUCUGGUAUAACUUCGGGAAACCGGAGCUAAUACCGUAUGAUAUUUUGAUCCGCGUGGUUGGUUAGUAAAAUACGGUCUUUCUGUCACGUAUAGAUGGAUCCGGGCUGCUUUGGCUAGUUGGUACGGUAACGGCUUUCGAAGGCAACGAGGCAUAGCCGAACUGAGGGGGUGAUCGGCCACACUGGAACUGAGACACGGUCCAGGCUCCUACGGGAGGCAGCAGUAGGGAAUCGUCCGCAAUGGGCGAGAGCAUGACAGAACAAGGCCGAGUGAGUGAUGAAGGUCUUCGGAGCGUAAAACUCUGUUAUGAGGGAAGAACAUAUGUGUAAGUAACUGUGCACAGCUUGACGGUAACUAAUCAGAAAGCCACGGCUAACUACGUG